GAAAUGCGAUAAGCAAUGUGAAUUGCAGAAUUCAGUGAAUCAUCGAAUCUUUGAACGCACAUUGCGCCCGCCAGUAUUCUGGCGGGCAUGCCUGUUCGAGCGUCAUUUCAACCAUCAAGCCCCGGGCUUGUGUUGGGGACCUGCGGCUGCCGCAGGCCCUGAAAAGCAGUGGCGGGCUCGCUGUCACACCGAGCGUAGUAGCAUACAUCUCGCUCUGGGCGUGCUGCGGGUUCCGGCCGUUAAACCACCUUCGUAACCCAAGGUUGACCUCGGAUCAGGUAGGAAGACCCGCUGAACUUAAGC
rnacentral:misc_RNA from 1 species